GCCCCCUGAAAAAGAAAACAUAAUUCCAUUGAUUAAGAUGAGUCUGUCUAAGGCAAAUGUUCUAAAUUUUUAUAGAUCAAUUCCUUCUGUUUACAUCAGAUGAUGUCACAUGUUUGAGCACACAUUGCAAAGGAGAGGAUAGGGAUGGCAUGAGACCAGUAGUCUUUGCAUAAGUAGUCUUAGUCAUACUUUUAAAAAAUUAGAACAAAUCUCUGGUAUUCAUUGCUUAUAUUCUCACCAUCAAAGUCUCUUCCUAAUAAGACAUUUAAUGAUCAGCAGUAGGAGCCACUAGCUCAGUUCUUCCCAUGAUCAGGGCAAAUGUGUAAAGUGCUUAUUUUAUUCAGUAACUUUUUCCUGUCUUGCAAUCUUUAAUAGAAUACCAAAGCAGAAGACUAGCCUCAUGGAGAUGGAACAGGGUACAAGCCAAAAGUAGGACCUGAGAAGGCCUAGCAAAGGGGCCUGGGUAGUGGAACCUGGGACAUUAAACUGGAGGUCUGUUAUAGCAAAGACACAUGAUAAGCAUAAUUAUAAGAUGUAGGCGAAGUGAAUCACGAUGAACUUGAAACAAAAUCACUGUCCGAAGGGUUGCUGAUUUUCUUUUACAGGAGCCUGCCAAGUCUGAGACAUUGAAAUAAGAGUUGAAUUUGGAAUACUUGAAGCAUUCAGCUUCUUCAUCACAGAUGAAGAAUCCAGUAAGAAAAGGAUGCUUUUCCAGGAUUUGGCUUCAAACCAACUAAUGGAGAGUUUCUAGGCAUGAGAAUUCCACGGCAGCUGUCAAAGCACCUCUAAUGUACACCUGGGGCUGAAAACUAAAGCUACAAUACGAGCUCCUACUUCAUAGUACCCAGACCAGUGAUUCUGAAACCUCAGUGCACAUUCUGUGAUAUGGCUGACAUUGUCAAAAACCAUCAGCAGCUGGUGUUUAUGGGAGAUGCUUCUCUGCAGUUUACAGCCACACACUGCAAAGUCUGCCUCUGAAUUCUCUGCAACUGUGGAAGGAGGGGUUUGAAUCCAUACGCCUCAGUUUUUCUCAUUUUUACACUGUAGCUGUGUCUAACACUUAAAGAAAGUAUGAAUACCCAACUCCAAGUACUUUCCAAGAAAUCAUUUUAAUAUAAUGAAGGAGUUCUGGAAGGGAAGAUUCCAGAAACAGAAGUGGACCAUUUUAUGCUUCUUGCUGCUGGGUAGCUGCACAGCCUUCUCUUCCUCUCCAUCCUACAGAAAGCUCAGAGAUUUAUUCUCUUCUCUUUGGAGCAUCCUAUAUCUUUUCUUGUUUUCCCACCCUAAAUGCCAUGAACUUUACUACAGUACGUGCUGUGACAAAAAAAAAAAAAGGGGUGGGGGGUGGGGGAGAAACCUGACUCCGGCUGUAAAAGAUUUGUCUUUUACGAGAUAUGAAUAUAGUCUCCUGUCUUUGAAAGCCAGUCUCGUUCUCCCUGGUCUGGUGUUUAUGUGGCCCUGGAGGAGACCACCUGUUCCGCACACUGUCCUAUCGUGUUGUAGGUAAGCUCCAUCAGGCCCUGGCCUCAGCCCUACAGCCGGAAGUGAACGAUGGAGCAGAUGACUUGCUACAACUCUAAAUGGUUUUCUCAGAUGGUCCAAGAUGGAACAAAUGGUACUGAUUUGAGGCCUCAAUUUGUUUCACUAAAAAAAAAAAAAAAAA